rnacentral:tRNA from 1 species
UGUGGCUCAGGGGUAGAGCACUUGCCUGUCAUGUAUGAAACCCUGGGUUUGAUCCUCAGCA